CUGGAGUACUCGAGUGGCGAACGGGUGAGUAACACGUGGGUAAUCUGCCCUGCACUCUGGGAUAAGCCUGGGAAACUGGGUCUAAUACUGGAUAUGACCUUUCUCCUUAUGGGGUUUGGUGGAAAGUUUUUCGGUGUAGGAUGAGCCCGCGGCCUAUCAGCUUGUUGGUGGGGUGAUGGCCUACCAAGGCGACGACGGGUAGCCGGCCUGAGAGGGUGAUCGGCCACAUUGGGACUGAGGUACGGCCCAG
rnacentral:rRNA from 1 species